AUGCCUUAGGGAUGAACUGGUCCCUUACAUUGUUGCUCAAUCCAUUGUUUCUCUAUGUCGGCUAAACUCGUUGUCUUCUUCUUCUGGUUGUAGCUGAUAAUGUGGGGGCGGAACAUAC